AUGCAGCUGGGUAAUUCUGAACAUUUGCUCUUUAAACCCAGCGUGCUGGAGGCUCUUUCGGGAGCCGUUGCUGCAAGACUAGCUACUCAAAACGCAACUGAUAACCCAAUUUUCACUUUCAAUGCUUCAAAGAAUUCCAUGCAGGGCAAAAUAAAAGGAAAGGGAAGGAAGGGAAAGAGGGGAGGAGGAACUAGGUGUUCAGAGGAAGCACGCACAAACAUCAUAGGUAAAAAAAGAAACCUAUUUGAAGCCCCAGCAGAUGGUAGUGAGCAGGAUUUCUCUUUUGAGAAAGCCCAUGGAUAG
rnacentral:rRNA from 1 species